UGAAGUGCUUGCCUAGUGACAACACCCGUUCCCAUCCCGAACACGGAAGUUAAGCUCUCCAGCGCCGAUGGUAGUUGGGGCCAGCGCCCCUGCGAGAGUAGGUCGUCGCUAGGC
rnacentral:rRNA from 1 species